CCUUUCAGUUGCUUUGGUUGAUUUUAUGAAUUCUGACACUUGUCUUGAUAAAGCUCACGUAGAGAGACAUUUGGAAGUGGCAUUGGUGAAAAGAUGGCUUAAAAUUCAGGAAUUUGGGCAGGAAGUUAUGUAAAUUCAAUGUAAAUUCAUAUUUUAUUUUUAUGUGUACAGUUUAAUCAUUUAAAAAUUUAAUAGGAUAUUUCUUACAUGAAGUUCACCAUUAUGUUCAUCUUUCUUAGAGGAUUAGUGAGAUUAAGGGAAUAAUAUUAACUCAAAGCCAAGAAAUUAAACUGUGAAAGCCAAAGAGCCAGGCUUUAAGGAGUUGCUGUAAUGAAAGUCUAUCAAAAAAAAAAAAUUGGGAUAAGAAUUAGAAAUCUUCCACAUAUAACUCAGUUUUUUCGUUUCUUUUUUUUCUUUUUUUUUUAAUAGGGAAAAGAGUCUUUGGUCAAAACGGAUAUGUUAGACUAUCAAAAAACAUUGUAGCCUCAUACUGCUACUUCCAUGACCUUAAGAAUAUUAUUAGUGCCCCAUGGGUAUGGUAACCAGAUAUCUUUGAUAAGAUCAGUUUCUUAAACUAGAUUGCCAAGGUAAAGUUUAAAACAUGAGGAGAAAUUUAAAUUUAUCACCGAAGAAAGCUAAAUCUACCUGUGUAAAAAUGUUAAUACCAAUUAAAUUAUGUUAAGAAUGGUGGCUGGGUGGAGGAAGAAAGGGAUAACAGAGAGAACUAAUCUACAUGGACCAGUUUGGAUGUGUUUAUCUGCUAAGUAACAGAAAACCCUGACUCAAAAUGGCUUACACAUGAGGAAUAUUUAUUAUCUCACAUAACACGAAGUCCAAAUGUGAAUGCUCCAGAUUGUUGAUUGAUUCAAUGGUCAAUUCAGUUGCUCAACACAGCAGAAAUAUAAGUUCUCUGCAUCUUUCUGUUCUACCCUCUUGGACCUGUUGACUUAGUUCCCCACAUGGUUGCAAGAUGGCUGCCACAGCUCCAGGAAUGGUCAUGAACACAAUGACACUGGGCACAGGGGAUGUUUAUCCCCAACUAUCUUUUUUGUUAGUAAGGAGAGAGAGCCUUUCCCAGAUUUCCCAUACAUCAUUGUAUCCAGAAUUGUACCUCAUGCCCAUGUCCAAACUGAUCCUUGAUAAUAAGAACAGGAAACCAGGCAGUGUGGAGUGGGCCCCCCCUCCCUCUUCUGAGCACCAGGAUGUACAGAGGAGAGGAGACACCCAAACAACGUAAGCAUCUUUUUAGCAAAAGGGGAAGAGAGGACUGGAUUUUGGUCUCUUCUACUAUGAGUAGCAUCAUUUUUCCAUCUCUAAUCAAACUUCAAUAUUUAGUAUCAAGGGAUUGGGAGGAGCUAUCAAAUGAAUUUACCAUAUAUGGGUCCAUGUGUUAAUACACCAAUGUGCCCAAACAGACUCAGCUUAAAGACAUUGAGGGAAAGAAAGUGGUAACUCAGUCAAUGAGUACAAGUUCAGCUGUGCUCUGAGGGCUGAAGCACAUCAGUGCUGUGACCCACAAAAGAGCAGUUAACCUUCUUCAUCUCAAAUCUGUUUUAGCUAUCUAUAGAAGAGAAUUUCUAUUUUAAGCUGAAGAGACUUCUGUAAAAUAUCUGGCUGUGGAGUUUAUGAAAAGGAUUCUGAAAAAAGGAUGCAUUUUGUGUUAUCUUAACAAUAUGUCUUAUCCUGAGGCUUGUUUGAAGUUGGUAAAUAGAAACAUGUAGUUCCAAAAGAGAUUUUGGUUUAUACACCUAUACGAGACACGUGGAAACUUUAAACACUUUUGAAAUGUAAAAAUACAAUUUAUAGCUUAUCAAAGUAUAUGGUAGAUAAGAAAUGUGACUGAUUAUUCUAAUCCUUUACUUUGAAACUAUGUUGCAUGGCUUGGUCCAUAACUUCCUGCCCUUCCACUUCAUAUAGCAAUAAAACCUUAUAAAUAAUAAUUAAAAAAAACCCUCAGAACCCUUUACUUCAUGACCCAUGUAUGUGUAACGGAUUAUGUAAUUCUGGUUAAUUGCUUGUCUAUCCCCACAGGACUCUAAGCUCUCCUGAUGGUUUCUGAAUUUUUAUAUAGGAUGUGGCUUUGGGACUGCAAUCUCUUUGAAGGGGAAGAACGUAUAGAGAGCUUGAAGUUUUGUUUUCCCAGGACUAUAAUCAUCAUGAACAAUCAGAAGAAUGGUAGUGAGGGUGAGCAUGGGGGUGCUGGUUGACAUGGUGGGGCCUCAGGCACCCCUCCAGCCACUCCUUGGUUUAUGGUGAGCAACUCAGACUAUGUCUGUAGUUCACUGUCAUCUCCCUAGCACAAAACAAUGUGAUUCCAAACACUAGUUGAAUGACCGAAUAAGCAGAAUCUAGUCCCAUUUGCCAAAAGCAGAAACUAAGUUACUUGUCACAUGAAGUAAUGGGUGUUGACUUUUUCUUUGUUUUCCUAAUUGUAAAGCUUGCAGGAAGUGGAAUGACAGAAUUUUUUUUUUUUAACUCUAAUGGUCCAGUUGUGUAGAGAUGUGUAUUCCCCCUUUCUGAAAUAAAUCUUCAUGUGAUUUUUUUGUGAAAGGGUACAAAGGAAAUAAAAUUUAUUAGGUAUAUACACCAAAAUCUCUUUUGGAACUACAUGUUUCUAUUUACCAACUUCAAACAAGCCUCAGGAUAAGACAUAUUAUUAAGAUAGCACAAAAUGCAUCCUUUUUUCUCAGUCCUUUUUAUGUCUGAAGAUCUCUCUAUCUCACCUUACAUUUGACGGGAUCCUUGAGUGUUGAAUUUUAGUCAAUAUUCUCUGCUCUCAGAAUUUGUGGUCAUUGCUUUGCUACCUCCUAGCAUUUACUGCAACUGGUAUAUAAAGUGUUGGUCUUGGAAAUUGUCUUCAGUCAAAGGAGCUACCCUGGAAUUCAAAUAAAGAUCUCUCAGAGUUGAUAUAGUCGACAGAGAAAAUGGAGUCUGCAAGUUGCUAGUUCAAAAUCAUAGGAUGAGUACAGGCAGUGGGGUUUAGUGGUUUUAAGCAUGAACUUUGAAGUCAGACAGUCCUGAGUUUAAGCCAUAGCUCCCCUUCCUUCUUAUUUGAUGCGUUACUGUGGAAAAUUACUUAACCUCUUAAGUCUUAGUUUCCUUGUGCAUAAAAUAAAGGAGAUAAUAGUGUGUAUAACAUGAUUGUUGUGAUGAUUCAAUCGGAGUGCUCACUAAACCUUUAGCACGUAAAAUGCCCUCAGUAAAAUAUAUUUUUCAUUAUUAUUGUUAGAAUCAGUCAUAAUAAUAACUUAUAUAAAUGUCUUGAUGAGAGUUUAUGGGGCAGCGCAUUUGUACAAGAAGCACAUUUAAAAAAAUUAUAAAAAAGUGUAAGAACAUUGAAGUGAAAAUUCAAAUAGCAUAAAUGUGGAUAAAACAAAAAUGAAAAGACUUAUUUGCCCUACAGCCUAACUUUACUUCCCAGAGGAAGCCACUGAGAAAUGUUUAAAAAUUAAUUUUUCCUUUCGUCCGGAACCGCCAUCUUCCAGUAAUUCGCCAAAAUGACCAACACCAAGGGAAAGAGGAGGGGCACCUGCUACACGUUCUCUAGGCCUUUUAGAAAACAUGGAGUUGGUCCUUUGGCCACAUACAUGAGAAUCUACAAGAAAGGUGAUACUGUAGAUAUCGAGGGAAUGGGCACUGUUCAAAAAGGAAUGCCCCACAAAUGUUACCAUGGCAAAACUGAGAGAGUCUGCAGUGUUACCCAGCAUGCUAUUGGCAUCCUUGUAAACAAACAAGUUAAGGGAAGGUUCUUGCCAAGAGAAUUAAUGUGCGUAUCGAUCAUAUUAAGCACUCUAAGAGCCGAGAUAGCUUCCUGAAACGGGUGAAGGAAAAUGAUCAGAAAAAGAAGGAAGCCAAAGAGAAAGGUACUUGGGUUCAGCUGAAGCACCAGCCUGCUCCACCCAGAGAAGCACACUUCAUGAGAACCAAUGGAAAGGAGCCUGAACUGUUGGAGCCCAUUCCCUAUGAAUUUAUGGCAUGAUGGGUGUAAAGAAAAUAAAAGACCUGGACGGU